AGACUGUAAGUUUUGAAUGCUUAUUUCUUCUAAAUGCAAAUUUUGUCAUUGUUUUGGAGAACAAAAAUGUCAAACUGGAUUGUAGUAAGUGAAAAUGAUCCUCCUGCUGUAAAAAACAGCAUUGACCAGCAUGAGUUCCCUUUCACUCACUGUCUACCAACCUGCAGUCGGUUCAGCACGAAACAUCAGGCUCACAGCAACAGAUUAAGAAGAAGAAUCCUGCAUCAAAAAAUGGCUUCAACUUGCAUGUGAGACGGAGUGAGAAGAGAAAAAGAGGAAUGAAGAUGGACUGUCUAAGAGUCAAGUUACACUGUCUAUUUUGCUAUAUGUGUGUAAUAAUUUGUAUUAUACUACGAGGCUGUUGAAUACGGAAGCCCUAAACGGCCAUGGAUUAUUAUUUUUUUUCUAUCUUGUUUUCUCGUGAUCACGACUUAUUUUCUCGUGAUCUUGAGAUAACAAAAGUUGUUUUCUCGUGAUCACGACUUAAUCUCUGGUCUAAAUUACACAAAUAUGCCAACAAGUGUCAGUAUAUUACUAAAUAUAACUGAUGAGGUGCGGUAAAUAUCCACUUUACUGUAUUAGUUCAUAUUGGCCCAGAUUGUACGAGUUUCGGACAGAGAGAGUCUUCGUGAUCGCUUUAUUUUGUGCAGUAUUGUGUGUGUUAAGUAAUUAAUUUAACUGUUAAUUAUGCUUGAAUAUGAUUAUUUUGCUUGAAAGUGUAUCUGUUAUCUUUACGUUCUGGCUGCUAGAUGCAUGACUCACAGUUUCACUACCGCAAUAGUUUGGUGUGAUACUAAACUUAUUGCUUAUUAAAACUAAUUUUGAUGUCACUGUAUAGUAUUCUGUUUGCACCUUAUUGUGUAUCUUUAAGACGCCAUUUUAAUCAUCGCAGUUUCAGUGUUCGUUUACCUCACUCACUCAAUGUAUAUUGAUAAGAAAUAGCCAAUAUAGUGUGCACGGAUCCACACUUUGGAAAUCUACCAGAAAUAAGAGAAUAUCCAGGGACUUUUGGCAUACUCUUUUCAA